AUUGAACGCUGGCGGCAGGCCUAACACAUGCAAGUCGAGCGGAGCGGCGGACGGGUGAGUAAGGCCUAGGAAUCUGCCUGGGAGUGGGGGAUAACGACAGGAAACGGGCGCUAAUACCGCAUACUAUCAGAUGAGCCUAGGUCGGAUUAGCUAGUGGGUGGGGUAAAGGCCUACCAAGGCGACGAUCCGUAACUGGUCUGAGAGGAUGAUCAUUCACACUGGAACUGAGACACGGUCCAGACUCCUACGGGAGGCAGCAGUGGGGAAUAUUGCACAAUGGGCGAAAGCCUGAUGCAGCCAUGCCGCGUGUAUGAAGAAGGCCUUCGGGUUGUAAAGUACUUUCAGCGGGGAGGCGUUACCCGCAGAAGAAGCACCGGCUAACUCCGUGCCAGCAGCCGCGGUAAUAC
rnacentral:rRNA from 1 species